GCCUCUCUGGCUCAGUCAGUAGAGCAUGUGACUCCCAAUCUCAGGGUCAUGAGUUCAAGUGCCAUGUUGGGCC
rnacentral:tRNA from 1 species